rnacentral:rRNA from 1 species
GACGAACGCUGGCGGCGUGCUUAACACAUGCAAGUCGAACGGAAAGGCCCUGCUUUUGUGGGGUGCUCGAGUGGCGAACGGGUGAGUAACACGUGAGUAACCUGCCCUUGACUUUGGGAUAACUUCAGGAAACUGGGGCUAAUACCGGAUAGGAGCUCCUGCUGCAUGGUGGGGGUUGGAAAGUUUCGGCGGUUGGGGAUGGACUAGCGGCUUAUCAGCUUGUUGGUGGGGUAGUGGCUUACCAAGGCUUUGACGGGUAGCCGGCCUGAGAGGGUGACCGGCCACAUGGGGACUGAGAUACGGCCCAGACUCCUACGGGAGGCAGCAGUGGGGAAUAUUGCACAAUGGGCGGAAGCCUGAUGCAGCAACGCCGCGUGCGGGAUGACGGCCUUCGGGUUGUAAACCGCUUUCGCCUGUGACGAAGCGUGAGUGACGGUAAUGGGUAAAGAAGCACCGGCUAACUACGUG